UACGGGGGGGGCAAGCGUUGUUCGGAAUUACUGGGCGUAAAGGGCUCGUAGGUGGCCAACUAAGUCAGACGUGAAAUCCCUCGGCUUAACCGGGGAACUGCGUCUGAUACUGGAUGGCUAGAGAUUGGGAGAGGGAUGCGGAAUUCCAGGUGUAGCGGUGAAAUGCGUAGAUAUCUGGAGGAACACCGAUGGCGAAGGCAGCCCCCUGGGCUAGUACUGACGCUCAUGCACGAAAGCGUGGGGAGCAAACAGG
rnacentral:rRNA from 1 species